AGACAAGCUCCCUGCAUGAUUGGCUUCAAAGUGUCUGGUGCCAAACAACUAACAGAGGCGCAAAAAGUAGAAGCCGUGCAUUUACAGCCCAGCGAAAGGGAGGCAGACAGAACGCGAGCUACCCGGGGCUCCUCAGAUGCUGGAGUCUCUCUCUACCUUUGCACGGCUCUCUCGACGUCUUAGGAGCAUUUAAGCAUGCCAGCCCAGGAGAUCAGAGACACUCAGCCCAGCUGAAAACAAGUGAGAGAGAACAAUUAGAGAGGGGGCUCAAUUCUCAAAAGUGAGCCCGCUCCUUGAUCUGCAAAGCGGAAGCAGCCGCAGCAGCUGUGAGCAAGAAAAAGGUGAAAUUUACCAAGAAAGAACUCGUCUCUAUUCCAGUCUAUUGAAUCCCAGUCAUGGCAUCCGUCUUGGGAAACAACAGAGGGUCUGGAGGGCUAAGUAGUCAACUCAAAUGCAAGUCGAAAAGGAGGAGGAGAAGAAGAUCAAAGAGAAAAGGCUGGCUCCCAGGGAAAUACCAUGCCAGUGUUCCACAGAUUUCACUGGAUACCAGUCAGUUUCUUCUGGAAGGAGCACUCACUCUCUGUCUCUGGAUAAAAGUACCACUAUUCCUGGAUUUCCCCAACUGUGUGCCCUACAUGGAUUCCUGUGAUCCUGUCAUCGAACAAAAGGAUUUAAGGAUUUAAGGGAAAUGAAGAUCCUGAGGCACAGGGAUGAUAUCAUUUCCACCUUUGUAUCCACAGCGUCUGGCAUAUAUUAUAAGUAUUAAAAUGCUUGUUCAGUUUAAUUGAAUUGAAAAUAUUCUUGGCUGUUAGAAAAGAUUUUCUUGGUUAUGCAUACUGUAUAUCUGAAUUACAAAGAGACCAAGUUAGGAUUGCUGUCAGGUAAAAUUUUUCUAACAGUGAAAACUGUCCAAAAGUGUAAUGGGCUGCCUUAGGAGGUGACAAGGUUGCAUUCUAGGAGGUCUUCAAACAGGGACUGAAUAACCACUUGUCAGGUAUCUCGUAGCGUGGAUUCCUUUGGGGUAUGUCUUAAACUAGAUGACUACUGAGUUGCUGAUAUCUUUCAAAGUCUGUGAUUCUGUGAUUUUAUGAGUUGACAGGAAUGCUUUUUCAGAGCGUUUUUUUUUUUUCCUAAAUGAAUUGAUUUUCUUCUCUGUUAGACAAUUUUGUUGAAGUUUCCUGAAGUAGUGACACAAUAGAAGCAUUUCUAAGCUGAAGAAUUUUUUAGAGUAACAUAGAAGAAGCAAUUUCAGAUGAGGUAACUUGAGAAACAAUAGCAGAGAGUAAGUUGUAUAGCCAUUCUUGAGCAAAACUGGGAAACCCAGUUAUUCUGUGAUUCUAGGACCUUCCCUUUGCUCUCUUCUUCAACCUCUGUUUAUUUUUUCAAGGAUCUAUACUAUCAAAAUUUACUUGAAACAAAGGAUCUGAUAGCCUCAAUUCUAGUAAUGAGAGUUAAAACUUUGUGUGUAUAUCUACUUCAUUAUUGGCAUGUAAAGUAUAAAAAUGGGCUUCCUUGCUAGGGUUAAAAAAAAUGAGAUUUCCUGACUUGCAGC
ensembl:lncRNA